rnacentral:rRNA from 1 species
AUUCCAGCUCCAAUAGCGUAUAUUAAAGUUGUUGCAGUUAAAAAGCUCGUAGUUGGAUCUGCGGUUAGGGCUUGCGGUCCACCACGCGGUGGCACUGCUCGUCCCGACCUACAUAGAAUUGACCCGCGUUGCUCUUCACUGAGUGACCGGGAAGGCUCGAAUGUUUACUUUGAAAAAAUUAGAGUGUUCAUAGCAGGCAGUCCGCCCGAAUAAUGUUGCAUGGAAUAAUGGAAUAGGACCUCGGUUCUAUUUUGUUGGUUUUCGGAAUUGAGGUAAUGAUUAAUAGGGACGGCCGGGGGCAUUCGUAUUACGGUGUUAGAGGUGAAAUUCUGGGAUCAUCGUAAGACGAACUACAGCGAAAGCAUUUGCCAAGAAUGUUUUCAUCA